CUGGCGUCUCGGUCGCAUCGUAGCGCUUUCUGCGUCGCACGCACAGGCCAAGAUACGCGAGCAGGCACCGCCCAAUCUCCUUUCUUACCUCACCGCACGGCGGGUACCGUUGUCACCAUUAAUGUGGUUCAGUGUACGUAUUUUUUGAUGGUGAAGAAUUUAAAACAAUCCUCCCAUUGGAAAGAUUUUUACACCAGUGUUUUUGUGGGGACAGAUACGUCACUGCCAGAAACAUGGAUCUUAAAUGAUUUCUAAAGUCCCUUCUUAAAUAUACCUGAACUACCUGUGCUGCUCUCUAUAGUUGUUGUACACUAUCAUCAAAUUCAAUAAACUGAAAUUUCGAGAUAAAAAUACCUUGUCAGUAUACAUAUAAUAUAUCAAUAUUGGAUUAUUUUUAUGAAAAAUUCAUACGAAGUAGUGUAUUCCUUACUGGUUCGUCGUGUCAUUAGUGCACACCGUACAUAUUAAGAGUGUCUCGUCCCUGCUUAAAAAAUACGAUAGAAUUCGAUAAGAAACGAUAAAACUAAUUGCUGAUUUCAAUCGUUUUCUAUCAGUCCUAUCUGCAUCAAGUUGAAGUGAUGAUAGAGUUUCUAUUUAAUGUAAUCUGAACCUAUCGGGUUGUUGCUUUAUUGUAAUAAUACGAUAGAAAUUUAAUCUAUACCUAUAUUCGUCUAUCUAUGGUAAUAUGAAAUUCACGUUCUAUUACGUAUAUGAUGCUAUAUGAAUCAUAUUUUUAUAUGUAUUAAUAUGAGAAUGCGUAAUAGGAAUCGAAUAGUUUUCUCUCGUCGCCAACUUAUUAGAGAAGAAUAUGAAAUAAACGAUAACCUUCUUAUGUGGCUUAAUAACAAAUGGUCUUCCCGACAAUAAUCUUUCGAUAUAAAAAAUAAGAAUAUAUACUUUCUGCAAAAGCUGUUCAUCGUCAAUCUACCUUAAGGAUGCAUUGCACGUACAUUUCCCACCAAAAAUCUGAUUCGAUUCGAAUUUGAGUGCUUUGACACGAGAAUAAAAGCUGAAAAAAAUCGACGUCUUGGAAGAUAGGAAGAACGUUUAUUUUUAAUAAUAAUGCCAAAAAGUUACUAAUAAAUGAAUUUAAAAAAUUAUUUAACAUAUUCGAUAGAAAACUUUCAUAUGAAAUGAAGUCUCUAAUUUUUCCGAUAAAAAAAAGUAUUCUUAAUAUCUCCAAGACGCUGAUUUUUCUCAAAUUUUUCCUUAAUCGCAAGAUACUCAAUGAAAUCAAUCUUUUGGUUGAGAAUUUAUGUGCAAUGCAUUCUUAAUACAGUUAACUAGCGAUUAAUUUGUCGUGUCAUGCAUAAAGUCAUUCUAUAUAAUAUGCAAUUAAUAUAUGUUAUAUUUUUGCGAAAAAUGGAUGCACGCAGUAUUAAAAUAUUGUUACGUACUAUUAUUUGUUUUCUGUCAAGGAAUUGUACAACGUAAUAAAAACGAAAAUUCAAUGUAAACCAACAAUUGUUUACAUCUUAAUUUAAUCAUUCUUGUGGAUAGUAGUAUUAAUAUAGAUAUUAGUAUGACGAUAUUGUAACAUAUAUUUUUUAUUCUAUUAUUUUAAAAAAAGAACAGAUCACUUUAUUAUAGAAUUAUUGAAUUUCAAUUGUAUUCGGCAUCGAGGCUACGUAUUCAUUAUUAUCAUACUUGAUAUAAAUCAUUUUUUGCUUAAUAGAUUCUAUAGGUACUACCAUCUUAUUAUUUAAUGAAAUACGCUCCAAAUGCGAAACACGAAUACAUUCGCCAAUCGGGACGGUUUCCAUUUCCGCAACUGUGAUAUAGCAUUGACCAUCCAAUUCGAUGAACCAUAAUAUUUCAACAACAACGUUCGUUUUCAAUUUAACGACCGUAUCAUUGGUUUUUUUCGGACGCUUAUACAAUAUACUGUGGAACACCGUGCCUUUAAAUAUGCAUCGAUUAAAUACUGAACCACUGAG